ACAGUUGGAAGGACUCAGCACUCAGGA
rnacentral:piRNA from 1 species